AGAGAAAGCUGUAGUACAAAUACGCUCCAAACAAAAGAUGUCAACACUCAGGAAACCGAGACAGUACCCACUGCCAGCAGCAGAUGGGAAGUCUAAACAGGAGAGACUGAAUAAAGCUGACAACUGAGGCAGGAUAAAGAAGAGAAGGAACAAAGAAGGAGGGGGCAGGAAAAGAAGCCAAGCAGAACAUGCUAGCCUGUCGAUUUUGUCUUCCAUUAAGGCUUCAGCAGAAGAUAAGAAAAGCUAAGCCACGUCAGUGAAGGGAGGACAGCAGGAAGGCUUUCAGGGGAAGAUUUGUGGUGUGGAUUCACUCGGCAUUGAUGAGAGCAGCUCCCCAGACAGAUACCGAGGUGUUGUUCUCAGGAUUUUACAUUGAUUCACAGCCACUCUAUAAGAAUGAAAAACCAAACCAGUGACCAGGAAGAGAAGAUAUGAAGAAAAAUAUAAGUACAUCUUUUAUUGUAAAAAUGAAUAACUAUAGGCUAUAGACUGAAUGUGGAAGCCUAAAUCCCUAGUGUGAUGGUAUUGGGAGGUGGGGCUUUGGGAUGCGAUUAUUAAUAGGUCAAGAGGGUGGUGCCCUCAUGAAUGAGAUUAGUGUCCACAUAAGAAAAGACGCAAAAGAGAUAUCUCUCCCUCCCCAUCCCCACACGGCAUAAGAAUACAAGACAGCUCUCUGCAAACCAAAAAGAAAGCCCUCACCAGACUGGAUCUGCCAGCACCUUGAUCUUGGACUUCUCAACCUCCAGAACUGUGAGAAAUAAAUCUCUGUUUUCUAAGUCACCCAGUCUAUUGUAUUUUUUAUAGCAGCC
rnacentral:lncRNA from 1 species